rnacentral:lncRNA from 1 species
GGGCACCUACAAAGUCUGGGAAAGGAUAGAGGCUUGUAACAAAAAUCAUGGUAGACAAUGACUCCACAAAUCCCACCAUACAAUGCUCAUUUCUCCUAUGUUUAUAAACAAGCCUCAACGUAUCAUCAGGUCACAAGGUGUGUUUGUGUGUGUGUGAGUAUACGCAAGUACAUCUAUAUGUAUAUAUAUAUAUAUGUAU